rnacentral:rRNA from 1 species
AACGAACGUUGGCGGCAGGCCUAACACAUGCAAGUCGAACGCCCUAGCAAUAGGGAGUGGCAGACGGGUGAGUAACGCGUGGGAACGUGCCCUUCAGUUCGGGAUAAGCCGAGGAAACUUGGUCUAAUACCGGAUACGUGCGAGAGCAGAAAGAUUUAUCGCUGAAGGAUCGGCCCGCGUCCGAUUAGCUAGUUGGUGAGGUAACGGCUCACCAAGGCGACGAUCGGUAGCUGGUCUGAGAGGAAGAUCAGCCACACUGGGACUGAGACACGGCCCAGACUCCUACGGGAGGCAGCAGUGGGGAAUAUUGGACAAUGGGCGCAAGCCUGAUCCAGCCAUGCCGCGUGAGUGAUGAAGGCCCUAGGGUUGUAAAGCUCUUUCGCCAGGGACGAUAAUGACGGUACCUGGAUAAGAAGCCCCGGCUAACUUCGUGCCAGCAGCCGCCGUAA